CAUAAAAAUUGAGAAGAAACUCUCAUUGGCCUAGGCAUUUUUAAGAGCUUCAUAAAGAUGAGACUCAGAUUUAUGGUCAGAUAUUCUGAUCUUUUGUCAGACUGUGACCAGCCUCUUAGUCCACAAAAGAGCACUCCAAAGUCAAAUGAAUGUAGCUGCCCAACCUGAGGUGUUUCAAGAGGCCUUGAUUUGGAAAGGAAGACUCCCUGACUGUCAAAACCUGACCCUGGGCCCUGCAUCAAGGUGGGAAACAAGCCAGAAACAUCAGUUCAGCCCUGUAGGACUUGCAGCUUUCCAGAAAUGUGUGAAAACCUCUGCAAAUGCAGGAGAAUUGGGCUCCAGAGAACAUGUUCAUCCCACACUGUGUAUCCACAGUGGCUGACUUUCAAGCCUUGCUGGUGUUGUCUUUGAAGUCAAUGAGAAUUUUGCUAUUGACCUCAGCUGGAAUGAGAUCAGUGGGAACAAGCCCUUAGGUAAAUAUGCUCAGGGACAUUAAUCAAAGGUGUGUUUGUUUCCUUAAUGACUUUUUGGACCUGGCAGAAGAGAGGAUUUCAGAUUUUUUCAAUAGAGUGAGGGCAGCUUUAAGAGUGCAGUUUCAAAAGCCAGACUUUUAAGGUAUUUUGCAAUUGUCUAAGUAGGUGGUAUGUGUGUCUUGCAGCAUUUGGUUUGAAUGCAGAGGUUAUCCCAGAGAUGGGUGUAAAUGUUCCCUGCAUUUCUCUUUUUUGACUUUCUGGUCUCUGUGGUGCUCCAAUUACCCUUCACAGCACUGUUGAUGCAAAGAAAAAGCUGCACCAGCUUUGUUUUGGAUAGAGAUAUUAAACAGUCUUAGCUAAUUUUGUGACAGAUUUUCUUCCAAGCUAAUCUAAAUUAUCUUUGUUUUUAUAUGCUACCAGUCUAUUGUGUGCAUGACAGCAUUUAGUCAUGCCAAAUGAGUGAACCAGGAGUCAAAAUUUUUUUGCUAAUAUCUCAUUAAGAUGAAAUUAGACAUUUUCACUUUUGAAAAUUACCCUAUCUUUUAAUAACAGAAAAAGAAAUUGAGAUGCUUGAAUAAUGUGGGAGGUUUAAGAGGGAAUUUCUACAUGACCUUGAAAAAGCAUUAAUCAUAAGUGCAUACAUUGUGAUAUGGAUUUUAUAGCACAGGCACUGACCAACACACAAAUACCUGUGUACACACGCUCCAGAUUUUUUAUCCUUUUUACCUAACCUCCUCUCUAGAAAAAUGUAAUGACCUUGAGAGAGUAAGGAACAAAAAUGAAACCAUGCUGAAAAACUUUUAUCUUUUUAUUAUUGGUGCCUUUACAUUAAUACUGCUGUUUUGUGCUGAGAAAACCAAUCUGUUACACGUACGGUAACUGUAAUAUACAACAUAGAAAUGCAGUCUAAGUUAAUUACAACAAGGAGCUACAAAAAAAAUUCGUAGGAAAGAAGUCACCUAACAUUGCAACUGUGCUUGCAACAAUCACUCCCUUACUGCAGGACUAUGCACAUUGUGAACCAUGGUUAUUUACAUGUCCCUUACAACCGUUAACAACAGAAGGGCUAAAAUCAGUCUAAAAAGUUCCAGAACGUCACUAUAUACUGUACAAUCCUCAAAAAUAAUUUAUUACACUGUUUCUAAAAAAA